AUCGAACGCUGGCGGCAUGCCUUACACAUGCAAGUCGAACGGUAACAGGUCUUCGGAUGCUGACGAGUGGCGAACGGGUGAGUAAUACAUCGGAACGUGCCUAGUAGUGGGGGAUAACUACUCGAAAGAGUGGCUAAUACCGCAUGAGAUCUACGGAUGAAAGCAGGGGAUCGCAAGACCUUGUGCUACUAGAGCGGCCGAUGGCAGAUUAGGUAGCUGGUGGGAUAAAAGCUUACCAAGCCGACGAUCUGUAGCUGGUCUGAGAGGACGAUCGGCCACACUGGGACUGAGACACGGCCCAGACUCCGACGGGAGGCAGCAGUGGGGAAUUUUGGACAAUGGGCGAAAGCCUGAUCCAGCAAUGCCGCGUGCAGGAUGAAGGCCUUCGGGUUGUAAACUGCUUUUGUACGGAACGAAAAGCCCUGGGUUAAUACCCUGGGGUCAUGACGGUACCGUAAGAAUAAGCACCGGCUAACUACGUGCCAGCCGCCGCCGUAA
rnacentral:rRNA from 1 species